rnacentral:lncRNA from 1 species
CUUAUUGUAGCUAUAUAAACUAAAACUAUCCCAAAUAAAAUAUCUUUUAUUCCAGAGUAAAAUCUGGUUAGAAGGAGAAAAUUGCUUUCCUCAUAAGCACAGAUAAGUCCCAGAGCUUGUAGAUGCAGAAAAGAUGUAAGAAAAAUUUCCUCACAAGGAAGGGAAGAGGGUUGUAUUUUAAGGUCAUUUUGAUGAGGUUUUAAGGAAUUUUAGUGGAAAUCUCCAGAGGUGCCUUAAGCUUCUCUCUCAGAAACUCCCAGGAGCUCUACCCCAGCUAUUUUUAUGCCUCCUGCUUUUUUCAUACUUUCUACUUUACCCAUCCCUAAUGGAAGUGCCAGGCUGCUACCUUCGAUGAACUAAAGGUGUAGAGGUGAGUGCUCAGCUGGUGGAAACUGUCACUGCUUCUUGUUUCCUUGGUGACAACAGAGAUGCAAUAUCCCUUUCCUCAUUUGCCUCAGUUUAGGUCAUACACUGGAUUAUUUAGCAUUCCUACUGUUAAAAUAAAAUAAUGAUCAGGAAGCCA